rnacentral:sRNA from 1 species
AAAUGUCUUGGAAGCAAUGGUAGAUCAAACUCCUGGCUAAGUCAGGCGACUGCCUCGGCUUUCUCUUUGUCUCUACUACUGAUUAUUUGGUAAAUUAUUGUCGAUAUCUAGAAAAGCAGCUACAUAAAAACUAUUAGUUGCUCGAGUUCAAUGGCACCACUGGCUCCGCCAGUGUUUGGAAGGCAUCAAUUUUGAAGCCCUUAUGGCCUUCGAGGAAAACCAAGCAAGAUCUACAACAGUUUACCAUAUGGCAGCAGAAGGUUUGUAUUUGCAAAAUCUAUCAUGUGGAAAGGCAAGAUCCUAUAGUUCCGCUCGGUUAGGAUUUAAGACAUAAUUUACCUUUACUUCAAGAAUCCUUGACCUAAAGCCCAUUUCUCUCAAAAUUAAUGUUUGGUCCUGUUUGUUACAACAUAUCGUAUUCUCUCUGCAGUUCAAUAUAUGAAUCCUUUCUUGACUAUUAUUAGCCAUAUAUAGUACAUAUUCUUAACUUUGUGCAAUCGGACAAACAAAGCUGUCCCUUUCGUUUUUACUAAAGAAACUAACAAAAAAAAUUGAGGGCCAUGCUUCCACAAGAUGGCUAUGACUUAUGCCCAAACUCAAAUUUCCCCAAACUAUUUAAGACCCAUUCUUAGGUACACUUAGUACAUUUCUAGAAAAUUUCUCUGCAGUUUUAUGCUGCGACUUUUGCAACACAUAUGUCGUGGAAAGCCAUCUAGAAGUAAAGUUAGGAUUAAUUAGAAAAAAAUCAUUGGUGAAAAACCAGUCUGGUCAACAAUAUUAACGUACAAAGGGAAUCAUAACUCGUACGUAAGGGAUAGGUUGCUAUUUUGUUUUUCUUUAUAUGUAUGUGCUCCAUCGCUUUCGAUGAUCCAAUCAACAUUGGAUAUUAGUGCCUUGCAAUAAUUUGGACCAGUCAGAACAUAUCAAAUGUUUGACACGAAAGUUAAUUAGGUCAUUUUGGUUGGAAAAUAAGACUGGAGAGAUGAUGUACCUGUGAUGUCCCAUUAUAUUGUUAAAUGUCAGUGAAAUGAGGGCAUGAUUUUCAUGCUGAAAAUUGUGAAAAAUUAUUAUAGGACUGAUCCCAAAUUGUUUGACUUCUUUAUUGGGAUGAUAUGUGCACUCAACUAAUCAAAUCGUGGGAAAAUUCAACGCUGCUAGUACUUCAAGUACCAGAAACAUCGGGAAAAAUAUGCUACUCUAUUCGGUUUUUAAUGUAUGACUCUAUUAGCUUUUUGGCAUAUUUUUUAUCAUAGUCUUAUUAAUAUUUGUUUGUAAUUACUACUUAUUAUGCUUUGUUUUAUGAAUAAAGGAACUUUAAUC